CUGGAUGAACCGUGGUAGAGAGACGAGUUGGACAAACCGAGUUGUUUGCUGAAGGUCUAGACGAGCUGGACGACGAGAUAGGUGGACUAUGCAGUCAAUGGACGAACU
rnacentral:sRNA from 1 species